rnacentral:rRNA from 1 species
AUUGAACGCUGGCGGCAUGCUUUACACAUGCAAGUCGAGCGGCAGCGCGGGGGCAACCCUGGCGGCGAGCGGCGAACGGGUGAGUAAUGCAUCGGAACGUACCCUGGAGUGGGGGAUAACGCCGCGAAAGCGGCGCUAAUACCGCAUAUGCUCUGAGGAGGAAAGUGGGGGACCGCAAGGCCUCACGCUCUGGUAGCGGCCGAUGUCCGAUUAGCUAGUUGGUGGGGUAAAGGCUUACCAAGGCGACGAUCGGUAGCUGGUCUGAGAGGAUGAUCAGCCACACUGUGACGGAGACACGGCCCAGACUCCUAAGGGAGGCAGCAGUGGGGAAUUUUGGACAAUGGGGGCAACCCUGAUCCAGCCAUGCGGCGUGAGUGAAGAAGGCCUUCGGGUUGUAAAGCUCUUUUGGUCGGGAAGAAAGUGCCUUGCUUAAUACGCGGGGUAUUUGACGGAACCGGCAGAAUAAGCACCGGCUAACUACGUGCCAGCCGCCGCUGUAAGAC